UUCUGAUUGUGUAGUUCAUUUCAAAGAAACUCUAAAUACCUUCCAAAAUGUGAAGUUUCAAAAAUCAAAAUCCAUGACAAACAGUCGGGCACUGUAUGCCAAUGUUUCAGUCAGUGAUGGAUAACAUAUAAGAAGGUGGUCUUAUAAGACUGCAACAAAACUGAAAAAUUCCUGUUGCUCAGCUAUAUAGCCAUUAUAACAUUGUAUAACAUUGUAGCACGUGCAUUAUUCACUUGUUUGUAAUGGUGUGAACAAACUUGCUGUGCUGCUAGUUGUAUAAAAGUAGCCAUACAAUUAUUUGUGGUAUGUAAUACUUGAAAGUGAAAACUAAUGAUCAAUAGUAAAGAAAGAGAGUCCAGAAAUAAACCCAUACAUCUGUUUUUAAUUGAAACUCAACAAAGAUAGGGAGGCCUUUUAAUGGGGAAAAAUGGGCUUUUCAUCAGUGGUGCAGAGACAAAUAGCCACACACCAAAGAAAUGCCUUUGGACAUUCACCUCAAAUCAUAUAGAAAAAUUAACUCAUGGACCAAUGGACUAAACAUAACAGAUAAGAUUAUAAAACUCUUAUCUGGGAGCAUAUGUGUAAAUAUUUGUGAUUUUGGCAAUGGAUUCCUAUAUAUAUCAAAAGUAUGAUGCUACAGUUGGAACCCAAAGGAUCCCCCAGAAGGCUCAUUGUGUUGAAAAGCUGGUCACUAGCUGGAUGGGCUUUUAGGAACUGAUUGGAUCAUGAGGGCUCUAAUUUUAUCAAGUAGAUCUAAAUCCAUCCAUGUAUUCAUUAGCUGAAUGGAUUAGGAGAUGAGGCCUAAUUGGAUGAAGCUGGUCACUGUGGGCAUAACUUUGAAAGACAUUUUUUGUCCCCAGCCCUCCCUUUCUGACUCUUUCCCUCUCUCUAUCCUUGCUGCCAUAGGUAAGCAGCUUUCCUCUGCUAUGCCCUUCUUCUAUAUUUCUGCCUCACCACAUGCCAAAAAGCAAUGCAGCCAGUUGGCCAUGGACUGAAGCCUCUGAAACUUGCUGUUCUCCUGCCCUGCUUCUCAGUCACCACGAACUAAGAAGUUUUGUUCUAUCAUACUCUUCUACCAUGCCAUUUCUGCCUUGAAGCAAAUCAACCAUGAAUUCCACCCUCUGAAACCAUGACACAGAUAAACCUCUCAUCCUUUAAGCGGUGGGUAUAAGAUAUUUGUCUCAGCUAUAAGAAAGCUGACUAAUGCAGAACAUUGGUACCAGAGAAGUGAAAGUCAUUGCUAUAAAUGUACUUGAUCAUAUGGUUCAGAAGCCUUUGGAACUGGUUUGUGGGAAGAGUCUUGAAAAAGCCUGGAGAAAGCCUACAAUAUUACAAGCAGAUCUUGAUGAAUGACUCUUGCUAGAGCUCAAAGAUAAGAAUGUUGGUAAUAACAUGGACAGUAUGAGAUUUCAGUUGGGAACUCUAUUGGGAAUUAGGCUAAAGGUCAUGCAUGUUAUACUCUACCACAAGUUCUCUAAUUUUGUUCAUACUCUAAGACUAAAUUUUAGGCCCAUGAGCCAAGAGAAAAAAUCAAGGCAGCCCAAUAUUCAGGCAGUGGUAUGUGUACUUCUGGUUUUUUAAUCCAGAUUUGUAGUGAGAAUCAGGAGCAAAAAACAGAUCAGAAAGUUUUGAAAAGCAUAAGUUUUGACCAGAAAAUUAGCAUAUGUAAAGUUAGCAUCAAGGAGAGUAUGGUUCCUAAAAAAAUUAAUGCUUUUUAAAAGACACCAAAUACUGUGAACUAGGACAAGAAGAAAGAUGUUUUGAGGGCACCUCAGGAACUGGCAAGACUGCAUCCAUCAUAGACUCUAAGGUACAAAAGUGUAGAUCUUUCAUUUGAAGAAAGAGACCCUGGGACCCUUUUCAAGAAGGUCCAUUUAGGAAAUUGGUUUCCCUGGAUUCAUUUCACUGUGUUCAGCCAUCCAGGCCCUCAGAGGCCACUUUAUUGCUCACAUUGGUGGCAGAUCUUGGCACUAUCCACAUAAUGCUGAUUUUUUUGGUAUACAGAAUGCUAUGGAAACAUUAAGGCUUCCACUCAGAUUUUAAAGAAAGGCCUUGAACACCAGGCAAAAAUGUGUGACAGUGUCAGUGUCCCUGCCAGAAGCUACUGAGAGCACAAUGGGUGUAGCUGUAGGAAUGAAGCCAAAGGUAUAAUGGAGACCCCAGGAAACUAGGGAUUUUAGGAGCAAGGAAAGCUGUGGCAACGAGUACAGCCAGCCCAGGAUAGAGGUCAUGUGAGCUGAAACUGGCAAAACCAUAGGGAUGGUGUUGCCCAAACCCUUUGGCACUCACAUUUCACCACCAUGUUCCCUGGAUUCCAGACGUGUAGCUAUAAGAUCUAACACUUGCCUUGCUGGUUUUCAGUCUUGCUUUGGUCCUAUUCUUCUUUAUUUCCUCCCCUUAUUCAUUUCUCUUUUUGAGAUGAGAGUGUUUACCCUGUACAGUUUUAUAUUGAGAAUAUGUAACUUGCUUUUUGAAUUUUCAGACGUUUGUAGCCAAGGGCUUACUUUGAGUCUCAGGGGAUAUUUUGAACUUAAAUUUAUGAAUAAUGCUGGAAUUGGUGAAACUUUAGGGUGGACAUUGAAGGACCCUAGUUAGUAAGACAGACUCCAUAUUGCUGCUUGACCCACCUGCCUGCCCUUUACAUGAACUCAGAAGGAGGAAGCUUAGAAACCUCCUCCCCUUAGAGUUUCUUAGAAGCAACAAUUAAUCAACUAUUGUUUUACAAAUGUUCUAAGGACAGGGUGUUCAGCUUCUGUACCUUUUGCUUGCUUUGCUAGUUCUAUCCCAUAGGGGGCCCCAGAAACUGCUGGCCUCAAAGAUGCAUAAAAUAUGUUAAUCUCCCCCAGUCAGGGCUUGAGUCUGAUGCUUGGCUCAGGUCCCAGCCAGUAAUAAACUGCUGUGUGG
rnacentral:lncRNA from 1 species